CCCUAUCCCCUUUGUUGCGUACUGAUUGUACCAUUGAAUCAUCUUAAAUUUGUGUUAAUUUAAACCAUCUCUUAGAGUACAACAUCCAAGUUGAUUUUGAGAUUCAUUUUUCAUUUUUUAUUUUUUUGCUACAAAUCUUUUAUAUGGAUAUGAAUGGGUACGAAUCAUUAGUUCAGAAAGAUAACUAAAAUAUUCUCAAGUUUUUAUGUUAUGUUUCUACGAUAGUUGACUAAUUAUGUUUGUCAACUGAUCUGUGUCAACUUGGCCCUAGUCAUAUUAAAAUUAAUGUUGAUUACGUUGUUACUGGUUUUAUUAUAAUAUAUGAAAUCAUCAUAGCUGAACUAUCAUUUGUGUGAAAUAUCAUAUGAAUAAGAACAGAAUUAUGGAUGUCAUUAAAUAUGAAAUCACAUUUCGAACCCCACCCAAACCCCCGCGGCGCAACCCUGCCCUAAUCGCAGCGACCGCUCUUUUUCUUCGGCGACUGCGGCGUCUCCUAAGUGAACGACGGCUGCCUUACUCUCCAUCGGGAAACAGCGACAGUUGGCGGUGCCGUCUUCCCCUCCCGCCUGUUUAACUUUUCCACUUCCAAAGACCAGAGUUCAGAGCACAGAUCCAACUUUUUAGUGGUCAAGCCCCUUCAAUCAUGUGAACUUUCCUCAGAAAAGGCUGCAAAAACACCCAAGUAUCACACCUGUCGUAAAAAUUCUUCUAAUCUUUUCAUUGAGUUCUUUAAGCAGAACGGUUGGAGCGAUGUACAAGUCAUGAAACUUACCCAGAAGGCACCCCGGUUGCUGUGUGCUAAGGUAGAGACUACACUGAAGCCCAGGAUGAGAUCUUUGCAGGACAUGGGAUUUUCUGUUACCGAAAUAGUUCAGUUGGUUUCAAAAUUUCCGACUGUACUCUAUCAUAAUAUCCAACCGAAUUUGAACUUCUUGAAGUCACUACUUGGUUCUAAUGAGAGGUUACUGAAAGCCUGCAGUAGGAACCGAUUUCUUCUUACUUCUAGCUUAGCUCGGAAGAUAGAGCCCAAUAUAUCUCUCUUAAGGGAAUGUGGCAUCAGUGAUGAAUGCAUCGCGCGUAUGGUGGUGUUGAAUUCGGGUUUUGUUGUUCGAAAAAACAAAUUUAUUAAGGAAGUUAUGGAACAUGUCGAGGAGUUGGGUGUGCCACAUGAUUGUGGAAUGUUCCCUCAUGCACUUCUUACUGUCUUGAACUCGAGCAGAUCUAAGUGUGAUGCUACCUUUGCAACCUUGAAGAGCUUUGGUUGGUCCCAGCCAGAUAUCGUUGCCAUACUCAGGAAGAACCCAUGUGUUUGGAGACUCUCAAAGAAGAACAUAUCUGACAAAAUGACAUUCCUGACGAAGGAAGCUGGUUGUGAGCUGCAGUAUAUCAUUUGCCAUCCUGGGAUUCUUGCAUAUAGCUUGGAGAAGAGGUUGAGACCGCGACAUGAAGUUAUAAAUUUUCUUGAGCAGAAUAAAUUGCUGGAUAAAGGACAUCGCCUUUUAUAUGUCAUGCCACUAACUGAGCAGAAGUUCAUGAACAAAUUUCUUUUCCCGUACAAGGAGAAAUUUACUGCUCUCUAUAAUGCCUAUGUUGCUGCUGUGCAGGGAAAGCACCAUGUUGUCGCUGAAAAUUAGGAUUGCAAGUGCUUCCUCGAGACAAAAGUGUAAACCUAUUGCAUACUGACUGCACUAUUUAAUCAUCUUAAAUUUGUGACAAUUUAUAUUCUUCAGGAGUUUCGUCUGAGUGGAACAUCCCUGUUGAUUUUGAUAUUUUAUUUCUAAUUAUCUUUUGAUACCUUUUAUUUUA